AGUGAACGCUGGCGGUAGGCCUAACACAUGCAAGUCGAACGGCAGCACAGAGGAGCUUGCUCCUUGGGUGGCGAGUGGCGGACGGGUGAGGAAUACAUCGGAAUCUACUCUGUCGUGGGGGAUAACGUAGGGAAACUUACGCUAAUACCGCAUACGACCUACGGGUGAAAGCAGGGGAUCUUCGGACCUUGCGCGAUUAAAUGAGCCGAUGUCGGAUUAGCUAGUUGGCGGGGUAAAGGCCCACCAAGGCGACGAUCCGUAGCUGGUCUGAGAGGAUGAUCAGCCACACUGGAACUGAGACACGGUCCAGACUCCUACGGGAGGCAGCAGUGGGGAAUAUUGGACAAUGGGCGCAAGCCUGAUCCAGCCAUACCGCGUGGGUGAAGAAGGCCUUCGGGUUGUAAAGCCCUUUUGUUGGGAAAGAAAUCCAGCUGGUUAAUACCCGGUUGGGAUGACGGUACCCAAAGAAUAAGCACCGGCUAACUUCGUGCCAGCCGCCGCUGUAA
rnacentral:rRNA from 1 species